CGGAACUGGGACGCCAGCGCUGCAUUGUGGGAGCUUUUAAAGCGGCGGGGAGCUCGGCGCGACCCUCGGGCCCACCGGGCCACGCUCGCCCGGCCCGCGACGCCCCCCCGCUGUCGCCUGGCCCGCGACGCACCGAGGCCUGAGGACCCGAAAGCCGGGCGCGGGGAGAUGACCGGUGGCUCGUGACGGUCCCACGGGCAAAAUCUUCCAUCGCCCGGGGCUGAGACUUGUCAAACUGCCCUCUACGGUCACCCGGAAAGUAGGAGGCUUUUUCUGCAGAGGGGAAAAAAAUCAAAAAGAGCCGUUCCAUCCCCCCUCCAAGGACUGGGUUUGAAUUGCUUUUCAUCUGCAGUGGCUGUGAUUCAGCGUCCCUCUUAGCAGCAGGCAAUGACAGAGGCAGGAGAGGGGAAAAAAAAAAAGAAAGAAAGAAAAAACACAGCAAAUGAAUCAAACGGACGUAGCAGGCAAGAGUGUGGUUAUCGUUGGACCAGGAUUCAGGAUCUGACUGAGUAGCUGACUCUUAAUCCAGUUUGUGUUGAUCACCAGGAGGAUCUGGACCUCAGUAUUACCACAUCUAGAGCUAUAAUCACAUCCCUGUUAAGCCUUCCUGAGAUCACACCAAAUGUCCUUGAUGGGAAUUGUAAACAACCCUUACUUCUGGUUUCUAAUGAUAUUCCAGGAAAGGAGCCUAACUAGAGUCAGUGAUAUGCCAACUCCACCUUUGCCUUCCACCAUGUUUGGAAGCUCCCUGAGGCCUCACCAGGAGCAGAUGCUCGUCCCAUGCUUCCUAUAAGCCUGCAGAACUGGAAAAGAAAGCUGGAUAAAGUAUUUAUAGAAGAUAGAGGACCUGUGGUGGCUCAUGCCUGUAAUCCAAGGUGGAAGGAUUGCUUGAGGCCAGAAGUUCAAGACCAGUCCAAGCAACAUAGCAAGGCCCCAUCUCUACAAAAAAUGAAAAUAAAAUUAGCCGAGCGUGAUGGCUCAUGCCUGUAGUUCUAGCUUCUAGAGAGGCUGAGGCAGGAGGAUUGCUUGAGUCCAGGAGUUCAAGAUUACAGUGAGCUAUGGUCACACCACUGCACUCCAGCCUGGGUGAUGGAGUGAGACUGUCUCAAUAAAAAGACAAAAAGGUAAGCCCUUAGGUAAAGUAAGCUUGCUUCUUUGUUAGAGCUAUCCAUGCUGAGUCCAG
rnacentral:lncRNA from 1 species